GAUGAAGAACGCAGCGAAAUGCGAUACGUAAUGUGAAUUGCAGAAUUCAGUGAAUCAUCGAAUCUUUGAACGCACAUUGCGCUCGACAGUAUUCUGGCGAGCAUGCCUGUUCGAGCGUCAUUUCAACCAUCAAGCUCUGCUUGCGUUGGGGAUCCGCGGCUGUCCGCGGUCCCUCAAAAUCAGUGGCGGGCUCGCUAGUCACACCGAGCGUAGUAGCAUACAUCUCGCUCUGGGCGUGCUGCGGGUUCCGGCCGUUAAACCACCUUCAUAACCCAAGGUUGACCUCGGAUCAGGUAGGAAGACCCGCUGAACUUAAGCAUAUCAAUAAGCGGAGGA
rnacentral:misc_RNA from 1 species